rnacentral:rRNA from 1 species
UACAGAGGCCACAAGCGUUAUUCGGAAUCACUGGGCUUAAAGGGUGCGUAGGCGGGUCCGUAAGUGCUUUGUGAAAUCCCUCGGCUCAACCGGGGAAUUGCAGGGCAUACUGCGGGUCUUGAGGAAGGUAGGGGUCGCGAGAACAGUAGGUGGAGCGGUGAAAUGCGUAGAUAUCUACUGGAAUGCCGAUGGUGAAGACGCGCGACUGGGCCUUUCCUGACGCUGAGGCACGAAAGCGUGGGGAGCAAACAGG